GAAACGUUGAAUAAAACGGCCAUUGCGGCUCCUCCCAAGCGACAUGCACCAGUGGAGCUGCUCAUCUUCCACAUUCCCUGGAAAACCAGCAGAGACUCUUCCCUCGUUUGACCAGUAAAUUUAAGGUAUCCCAUGGCCCUUCAGCCUUCUGACCUCUGACCCUCGUUCCCAUGGAAACCAGCGCCCUACUCAUUUUGCUGAGUGCAGGCCUCUGCAUGUCAGCCUUCCUCGGUCACUACAAACGAAACCUC